AGAUUAAACUGAAGAGUUUGAUCCUGGCUCAGAUUGAACGCUAGCGGGAUGCCUUACACAUGCAAGUCGAACGGCAGCACGGACUUCGGUCUGGUGGCGAGUGGCGAACGGGUGAGUAAUGUAUCGGAACGUGCCCAGUAGCGGGGGAUAACUACGCGAAAGCGUAGCUAAUACCGCAUACGCCCUACGGGGGAAAGCAGGGG
rnacentral:rRNA from 1 species